AACGGAGGGGGCAAGCGUUAUUCCUCGUUAUUAGGCGUAAAGGGUAUGUAGGUGGUGCUCUUGUUAGCACGAAAAUAACAGAAUAUUUCCUCUGUUGUGUGUGCUAGAGCUGAAGCGAUGGAGAUAGCAGAUGUUGAUGGAAUUACUACUGGAAGGGUAAAAUUUUUUGAUAUUAGUAAGAACGCCAGGGGCGUAGGCGAUUUUCAUUUAUAUCUGACACUAAAGUACGAAAGCAUGGGAAUCAAACAGG
rnacentral:rRNA from 1 species